CACGUAGGGUCCGAGCGUUGUCCGGAAUUACUGGGCGUAAAGCGCGCGCAGGCGGUUAGUCGCAUCGGCGGUGAAAGCCCCCCGCUUAACGGGGGAGGGUCCGUCGAGAUGGACUGACUGGAGGCAGGGAGAGGGCGGUGGAAUUCCGGGUGUAGUGGUGAAAUGCGUAGAGAUCCGGAGGAACACCAGUGGCGAAGGCGGCCGCCUGGACCUGACCUGACGCUGAGGCGCGAAGGCGCGGGGGAGCGAACGGGG
rnacentral:rRNA from 1 species